ACACGACUACAUUAGAUACCCCGGUAGUCCUAGCCCUAAACGAUGCGCGUUAGGUGUAUCGGUGACCACGAGUCACCGAGGUGCCGAAGGGAAACCGUGAAACGUGCCGCCUGGGAAGUACGGUCGCAAGGCUGAAACUUAAAGGAAUUGGCGGGGAGCACCACAACGGGUGGAGCCUGCGGUUUAAUUGGACUCAACGCCGGGAAGCUCACCGGAUAAGACAGCGGAAUGAUUGCCGGGCUGAAGACCCUGCAUGACCAGCUG
rnacentral:rRNA from 1 species